GCAUUUGUUCAAAUUGACUUUUUAAAAUUGUUUUCAUUGGAUCUGGGGUUUCUCCCACAUGUUAUUCUUGAAAAGAAAGGAUCAAAAUAUAAAAGCUAUCGUAACAUAUCGUAUUUCUGAUGGAAUUGCCCUGAAAACAAAUAGAAUCCAAGUCUGGAGAUGGAAGAGGAGACUGCCUCUACAAAUCAUCUUUCUCUGCAGAAAGUAAGCAUCAUUCCAAGCCUCCUCCCCCAACAGGGAUUCCCAUCCUGAUACUAAAGUUGAUUGGCAGUUCAGUAAACUGCGCAGGAGUAAAUAUGAAGGAGGAGAGUAAUGACUAGGGUGGGUGUGAAUUAACCCACCCUGAAGUCUCCUCAAUUGCAAAAGGUCAGCUCCCUGACUCUUGCCUUUCCAUCACGACUUUCAUGCUCAAAUUAGCAGCGAUCACCGUCAUAAUGUAACAAUCACCUGACAUGUAGAUGUCUAAUUAAGGCACCAUAAGUCACAGGUUACAAAUUUAAAAACAGCAAUAACCAAAAAAAAAAAAACCCUUGUAAAUCAAUGGGGGUUUGAUAGAGUAUGUAUGCAUGAGACUGAAGGAAAAGCAGGUGCACACAUGUAUGGAAGAUUCAAGUUUCCAAGAAUAUUAAUCUAUACAUUUAGUGAGAGACUGGGAAUUUUCAGCCCAGAAUAAGAUUUUUCUAAAUGAUGGAACAGAUCAUAACCCCGAAAUUUCCAAUCACAUCACCUA
rnacentral:lncRNA from 1 species